UUUAUUAUAUUAUUCAUUGUACAGACCCAUUUUGCCCGGGCCCAAAAAAAUACAAACUCAAACUAUUAACAGGCCCAAAUAAAAAAAAAAUCUAGCCCAAACUCAAAAACAAGAAGAAACAAAGAAACCCUAGCCCCUAACCCUAGCUUCAGCCGCCGCAGCCACCGACCCCAACUGCCACCACCUACUCCGCCGCUCCUCUGUCCACUUGCGCCUGCAACGAAAUGACAGGCAAAAGAUAAGAUAAAAAAAAUCAUGUAAAAACGGCUAUAAAGUCGAGAAUCGAACGCUUGUAAGGGGCUCCCCCAUUUUUUUUUUCACAAAACAUUGAAGAAAUAAAAGAAAACAGUUUAAAAAGGUGACUUUUUUUUACAUUUUUCGAUUUUGUUUUUUUCCGGUUUGUUUCUUUUUUUAUUUUCUUUCACAUACGAAAUAAAUAAAAAUAACAAAAAGAAAAGAAAAAACCUACCUGUUUCGUUCUUCGUCGUCGGGAUUCGGAGGGUCCCUCCUCCUUUCGGUCAUUUUUGGCCACUUUUUCUAAAAAAACAACCCCAGAUUCGGAAUCAGGGGGUUGAGAGGGUUAAAGGGGCCUUUUUUAAAUUUUCCCCUUUUUAAUUUUUCCGGCCACCGCGGACGGCGGCGCCGUCGCCAGUGACUGGCGGCCGACACGGCGGCCGAUGGCCGGAGCUCUUGCCGGAGGCUAACCGGUUUCUGGGGAAGAAAGGGGGGAUUUGAGAGUGUUUGGAAGGUUUUUUUUUUUUUUUG
rnacentral:lncRNA from 1 species